rnacentral:lncRNA from 1 species
UGAGCCCUUCGGGACAUCUGUAGGUCAGCUCUUGUUGGUGAAUUGAGUACAGCGGAAGCACCUGCACUUUGGAAAUAACUCAAGAUUAUGUGUAUCAAAAGAAGUCAAGCAGCAAAGUUUCUCACCCAUAAACAAAUAAACAGAAAUACUUUUUGGAGUAUUGACUGCAUCAGCAUACGCCAUGGACACAUCCAGAGAACCUAGUAAUACAGUGUGACACUGUGUGUUGGUACUUCCAGGAAGCACGGUGGUGCUACGAGGGGAGGCAGACCCAGUUGUGCACCUUGACCUUGGAUGAUGAUGGAGAAAUUGGAAGAGACCCAGAGAAGAAUCACUCAACAAAUAUUUGUUAAGUGUGAAAGGUAUUCCAGGCUCUCUAACAGACUCUGAGGAUCAACCACAUGCAGUGGAAAGAAU